rnacentral:rRNA from 1 species
AGUAACACGUAAGUAAUCUACCUUCGAGUGGGGAAUAACAUCGGGAAACCGAUGCUAAUACCGCAUAAUGCAGCGGCACCUAAUGGUGACAGUUGUUAAAGGAGCAAUUCGCUUGAAGAGGAGCUUGCGGCAGAUUAGCUAGUUGGUAAGGUAACGGCUUACCAAGGCUACGAUCUGUAACCGGUCUAAGAGGACGGUCGGUCACACUGACACUGAAUAACGGGUCAG